rnacentral:rRNA from 1 species
AUUGAACGCUGGCGGCAUGCUUUACACAUGCAAGUCGAACGGUAACAGGCCUUCGGGUGCUGACGAGUGGCGAACGGGUGAGUAAUGCAUCGGAACGUGCCCAGAGGUGGGGGAUAACGCAGCGAAAGCUGUGCUAAUACCGCAUGUGAUCUGAGGAUGAAAGCGGGGGACCAGGCAGCAAUGUUUGGCCUCGCGCCUUUGGAGCGGCCGAUGUCAGAUUAGGUAGUUGGUGGGGUAAAGGCCUACCAAGCCGACGAUCUGUAGCUGGUCUGAGAGGACGACCAGCCACACUGGGACUGAGACACGGCCAAGACUCCUACGGGAGGCAGCAGUGGGGAAUUUUGGACAAUGGGCGCAAGCCUGAUCCAGCAAUGCCGCGUGCGGGAAGAAGGCCUUCGGGUUGUAAACCGCUUUUGUACGGAACGAAAAGGCUCUGGCUAAUACCUGGGGCUGAUGACGGUACCGUAAGAAUAAGCACCGACUAACUACGUG